rnacentral:rRNA from 1 species
UGGGGAAUAUUGCACAAUGGGCGCAAGCCUGAUGCAGCCAUGCCGCGUGUAUGAAGAAGGCCUUCGGGUUGUAAAGUACUUUCAGCGGGGAGGAAGGGAGUAAAGUUAAUACCUUUGCUCAUUGACGUUACCCGCAGAAGAAGCACCGGCUAACUCCGUGCCAGCAGCCGCGGUAAUACGGAGGGUGCAAGCGUUAAUCGGAAUUACUGGGCGUAAAGCGCACGCAGGCGGUUUGUUAAGUCAGAUGUGAAAUCCCCGGGCUCAAACUGGGGACUGCAUCUGAGACUGGCAAGCUUGAGUCUCGUAGAGGGGGGUAGAAGUCCAGGUGUAGCGGUGAAAUGCGUAGAGAUCUGGAGGAAUACCGGUGGCGAAGGCGGCCCCCUGGACGAAGACUGACGCUCAGGUGCGAAAGCGUGGGGAGCAAACAGG